GGGAAAUGUAAACAUAAAUUAAUAUAUAAACCCUAGCUAGGUAGGGAGUUGAGCAUCAUAAAAUAUGUAGCCUCAAAUUACAACUAGCAAUUAUUAAACUAGAAAAAAUAUAUUAGAAAGGAAAAGAAAAAGGGGAAACCAGAUGGUUUUAUACAUGAAAUUGAACAUACUAACCUUGACAGACAAGUCUGCAAAUUCCAUUGCUAGCUAGCAGAUGCAAAACCAAGUAUUGAAAGCAGCCUCCAUGAAUAUACAUCUUCAGUUUUCAGACCCUUCUUUUUUCUCAUGUCAAUGAAUUAAUGAGAAGAAAGAUCUCAUCUCCAUCAUACCCAUAAAUUUUUAUCAUACAAAAUGAUAUAUUCUGAUAAUAGUUUUCUAUUUAAAAUGGUGGCCUUGCACCACUCCCACCCCAUCCAAACAAAUCACCUGAAAACGGAUAAUUCCCCACAUUCCCUCCGAUGUUAAAAAAAGCACCUCCGCUGCCGCUCCCACUACCGCUGCCUCCUCCUACACCAUCACCCAGUUGCCCAGCCCCAACACUUCCUGUCACACCUGAAGAUUGUGAAGCCGUGGACUGAACUUGAACAUUUCCCUCCUCCUCAUCCAAAGGCAAUCGCUCAAACACAGCGUUUGCAAACGAUGCAGCCAUCAAAAUCACCGGCCCAGAAGCCACCAAGGGUCCUAUAACACUUCCUCCAACAACCUGCCCCUGUCCACCAGACAAGAAUAUAGACAACCCCCCUGCCCCAGGCGGCGCUGGUGGAGGAAGCACAGUUCCAGAGAGGGAAAGAAUCUCGAACCUACCGUGCAAAGUCACCACACUCCCUGCAGGAGACGCUGGUUGCUUCAGUGUAACGUUGGCAACUGUCCCGUUGCCGCUGAGUACACAGACUCCUCUUCCUCUCUUCCUCGCAUAAUUGGACACGCUCUCCAUGAUGUCGCUGCCAGCGGAAACCUCCAGCACGUGGGAUCGGAGGGCAUUGGGGCUGUCACGCGUUACAAUAAUCGGGGGCCUGGGUUUAUUCUUGGAGCCAGGAGGGCGGCCUCGAGGGCGGCGAUUGCUUCCAGAGCUGGUGGCGGCGGCGUCGGUGUCAGCAUCGUUGUGGUCUUUGGCUUGAGGUGAGGUGUUGUCCUUAGAAUCCGGGGAUAGUUGGCCAGGAAUUGAAGGUCUUUGAAGAUGCAGCUCGGGUCUGAGGAGUUGGUGAACAUAGCGAGAACCUGCACCUGUUGCUGUUGGCUGAUACGCCGCCAUCGCCACAUCUACUCUCUCCCACCACUUAUUUGCCAGCUUUCUCUUCUCAACCGAUCUGAUUCUCGUUUAAUUUAUGCUGUGAACAAGAAACUAAGCUUGCUUUCUAACAAUAGAGAGACCAACAAGAUCCACCGAAGAAUUGAACAAAAUCUUUCUAAUUAGCUCAAACUGGUUGAGCUUUCAAGAAAUAAAGUUGGAGAAAUUUUCUUUAAGAGAGGAUCCAGAAGCUGGAGAUUCGUUACUAAUCGUCGACCUCGACCACUUAACUUGAAUUAAUGCUCUCGUACAGGAAAAUACUGAAGAAGUUUCUCAAUUCAUACAUACCCACAAAAACACUAGUCCUGAAAUCAAGCUGACAAGGCUAUAACUCAUAAACAACAGCUUCCCCAUGGGGAAAAGCCCAUGAAACAAACCUCAGAGGAGUUAUUAAAGCUGAAGCUUAAAAUUCUUGUCAUGUUUAGCAGUUCUUGUGAACAAGUAAAUUAUCAUUUACAUCACAAACGGGAAUCAGAUCUUUCAAAGGAAAAGGGAAGAAAUUAACAGAUCAGAUUGAUGAUAUGGAUAUGCACUUACAGCAACCAAAAAAGAAUAUAAAGAAAUAUAUAUAUAUAAAUAUAUACUUCAAAAUGAAGAGAUACUUAAAGAUGAAGAGAGAAGAGAGACUUAUCAGUGAAAAUUGUGGGAUAGUUGAGCUGUGAAGAGAAAAAAGAAAAGAAAAGAGAAGCAGAAAGGAAUAUUGAAAACUGUUUAGGUUAACAAGAAUGAAGGAGUUUGGAUAGCGAGAAAGAAGAUUGAUCAGGGAAGAGAAAGACAUGAUAAUAAGAGAGUUUUCGAGGGGAAAAUGGUGGAAAAGCGUGCGGUAAAAGCAGAAUCCAAGCAAUUUCCUUGAAAACAAGGGCCUUCGCUCUUUUGACCUCAUUUGCC
rnacentral:misc_RNA from 1 species